UACGUAGGUGGCAAGCGUUGUCCGGAAUUAUUGGGCGUAAAGCGCGCGCAGGCGGUCCCUUAAGUCUGAUGUGAAAUCCCACGGCUCAACCGUGGAAGGUCAUUGGAAACUGGGGGACUUGAGUACAGAAGAGGAAAGCGGAAUUCCAAGUGUAGCGGUGAAAUGCGUAGAGAUUUGGAGGAACACCAGUGGCGAAGGCGGCUUUCUGGUCUGUAACUGACGCUGAGGUGCGAAAGCGUGGGGAGCAAACAGG
rnacentral:rRNA from 1 species